rnacentral:rRNA from 1 species
GGAAUAUUGGACAAUGGGCGCAAGCCUGAUCCAGCCAUGCCGCGUGUGUGAAGAAGGCCUUCGGGUUGUAAAGCACUUUCAGCGGGGAGGAAGGGUGUUGUGUUAAUAGCACAGCAUUUUGACGUUACCCGCAGAAGAAGCACCGGCUAACCCCGUGCCAGCAGCCGCGGUAAUACGGAGGGUGCAAGCGUUAAUGGGAAUUACUGGGCGUAAAGCGAACGUAGGCGGUAUGUUAAGUUGGAUGUGAAAGCCCCGGGCUCAACCUGGGAAUUGCAUUCAAAACUGGCAUGCUAGAGUAUGGUAGAGGGUGGUGGAAUUUCCUGUGUAGCGGUGAAAUGCGUAGAUAUAGGAAGGAACACCAGUGGCGAAGGCGACCACCUGGACUGAUACUGACACUGAGGUGCGAAAGCGUGGGGAGCAAAC